GAUGAACGCUAGCUACAGGCUUAACACAUGCAAGUCGAGGGGCAGCAUGUCGGUUGCUUGCAACCGACGAUGGCGACCGGCGCACGGGUGAGUAACGCGUAACCAACCUACCCUUGUCCAUCGGAUAACCCGUCGAAAGGCGGACUAACACGAUAUGCGGUCCUCAGCAGGCAACUAAAGAGAACGAAAUGUGAAGGAGAAGGAUGGGGAUGCGUCAGAUUAGCUUGGUGGCGGGGUAACGGCCCACCAAGGCGACGAUCAGUAGGGGUUCUGAGAGGAAGGUGCACCACAUUGGAACUGAGACACGGGCCAAACUCCUACGGGAGGCAGCAGUGGGGAAUAUUGGUCAAUGGACGAUAGUCUGAACCAGCCAAGUAGCGUGCAGGAAGACGGCCCUAUGGGUUGUAAGCUGCUUUUAUAGGGGGAUAAAGUGUGCCACGUGUGGCAUAUUGCAGGUACCCUAUGAAUAAGGACCGGCUAAUUCCGUGCCAGCCGCCGCGGUAAAAC
rnacentral:rRNA from 1 species